rnacentral:rRNA from 1 species
AGCUUGCUCCCUGAGAUUAGCGGCGGACGGGUGAGUAACACGUGGGCAACCUGCCUAUAAGACUGGGAUAACUUCGGGAAACCGGAGCUAAUACCGGAUACGUUCUUUUCUCGCAUGAGAGAAGAUGGAAAGACGGUUUACGCUGUCACUUAUAGAUGGGCCCGCGGCGCAUUAGCUAGUUGGUGAGGUAAUGGCUCACCAAGGCGACGAUGCGUAGCCGACCUGAGAGGGUGAUCGGCCACACUGGGACUGAGACACGGCCCAGACUCCUACGGGAGGCAGCAGUAGGGAAUCUUCCGCAAUGGACGAAAGUCUGACGGAGCAACGCCGCGUGAACGAAGAAGGCCUUCGGGUCGUAAAGUUCUGUUGU